GGUGUGUACUGGUCUUGAUGGAAGCUUACCUCUUGGUGGGUCGGCAUGCCCUUCGUUGGGUGUGUCGAUUAACCAGGACUUUUACUUUGAGAAAAUUAGAGUGUUCAAAGCAGGCUUUCGCCCGAAUACAUUAGCAUGGAAUAAUAGAAUAGGACGCGCGUCUUUAUUUUGUUGGUUUCUAAAUUCGCCGUAAUGAUUAAUAGGGAUAGUCGGGGGCAUUCGUAUUGCUUGGUCAGAGGUGAAAUUCUUGGAUUCUAGCAAGACGAACUACUGCGAAAGCAUUUGCCAAGGAUGUUUUCAUUGAUCAAGAGCGAAGGUUAGGGGAUCGAAAACGAUCAGAUACCGUUGUAGUCUUAACAGUAAACUAUGCCGACUAGGGAUCGGACAAGCACAAUCUAUGACUUGUUCGGCACCUGAAGAGAAAUCUUUAAGUCUAGGUUCGGGGGGGAGUAUGGUCGCAAGGCUGAAACUUAAAGGAAUUGACGGAAGGGCACCACCAGGUGUGGAGCCUGCGGCUUAAUUUGACUCAACACGGGGAAACUCACCAGGUCCAGACACAAUAAGGAUUGACAGAUUGAUAGCUCUUUCUUGAUCUUGUGGUUGGUGGUGCAUGGCCGUUCUUAGUUGGUGGAGUGAUUUGUCUGGUUAAUUCCGAUAACGAACGAGACCUUAACCUGCUAAAUAGACCCGGGGCCUUAGGGAACCGGCUGUCUUCUUAGAGGGACUGUAGG
rnacentral:rRNA from 1 species